AGAGUUUGAUCCUGGCUCAGGAUGAACGCCGGCGGUGUGCCUAAUACAUGCAAGUCGUACGCACUGGCCAAACUGAUUGAUGGUGCUUGCACCUGAUUGACGUUGGAUCACCAGUGAGUGGCGGACGGGUGAGUAACACGUAGGUAACCUGCCCCGGAGCGGGGGAUAACAUUUGGAAACAGAUGCUAAUACCGCAUAACAACAAAAGCCACAUGGCUUUUGUUUGAAAGAUGGCUUUGGCUAUCACUCUGGGAUGGACCUGCGGUGCAUUAGCUAGUUGGUAAGGUAACGGCUUACCAAGGCGAUGAUGCCUAGCCGAGUUGAGAGACUGAUCGGCCACAAUGGAACUGAGACACGGUCCAUACUCCUACGGGAGGCAGCAGUAGGGAAUCUUCCACAAUGGGCGCAAGCCUGAUGGAGCAACACCGCGUGAGUGAAGAAGGGUUUCGGCUCGUAAAGCUCUGUUGUUGGAGAAGAACGUGCGUGAGAGUAACUGUUCACGCAGUGACGGUAUCCAACCAGAAAGUCACGGCUAACUACGUGCCAGCAGCCGCGGUAAUACGUAGGUGGCAAGCGUUAUCCGGAUUUAUUGGGCGUAAGGCGAGCGCAGGCGGUUGCUUAGGUCUGAUGUGAAAGCCUUCGGCUUAACCGAAGAAGUGCAUCGGAAACCGGGCGACUUGAGUGCAGAAGAGGACAGUGGAACUCCAUGUGUAGCGGUGGAAUGCGUAGAUAUAUGGAAGAACACCAGUGGCGAAGGCGGCUGUCUGGUCUGCAACUGACGCUGAGGCUCGAAAGCAUGGGUAGCGAACAGGAUUAGAUACCCUGGUAGUCCAUGCCGUAAACGAUGAGUGCUAGGUGUUGGAGGGUUUCCGCCCUUCAGUGCCGGAGCUAACGCAUUAAGCACUCCGCCUGGGGAGUACGACCGCAAGGUUGAAACUCAAAGGAAUUGACGGGGGCCCGCACAAGCGGUGGAGCAUGUGGUUUAAUUCGAAGCUACGCGAAGAACCUUACCAGGUCUUGACAUCUUGCGCUAACCUUAGAGAUAAGGCGUUCCCUUCGGGGACGCAAUGACAGGUGGUGCAUGGUCGUCGUCAGCUCGUGUCGUGAGAUGUUGGGUUAAGUCCCGCAACGAGCGCAACCCUUGUUACUAGUUGCCAGCAUUAAGUUGGGCACUCUAGUGAGACUGCCGGUGACAAACCGGAGGAAGGUGGGGACGACGUCAGAUCAUCAUGCCCCUUAUGACCUGGGCUACACACGUGCUACAAUGGACGGUACAACGAGUCGCAAGCUCGCGAGAGUAAGCUAAUCUCUUAAAGCCGUUCUCAGUUCGGACUGUAGGCUGCAACUCGCCUACACGAAGUCGGAAUCGCUAGUAAUCGCGGAUCAGCAUGCCGCGGUCAAUACGUUCCCGGGC
rnacentral:rRNA from 1 species